rnacentral:lncRNA from 1 species
UCGGUUCCUCAUUCUCUAGGUAAUUUCUCUCGCUAUUCUGUAGUGCCUCCUCUGUGGUAUUCUGGGUUUUUGUGUUCUUUGUUUUCUGUAUGUGCUUGAACUCGAUCUUCUGGAAAUAUGGUUUCUUGCACUGGAUAUCCCUGAUAAUUGUUCCAAUAAUUGAGUAGUCGGUUGCAGUUGAAUGAUAUUUCUUGAUUACUGUUAGUGAAUCGCCCAUUAUUUGUAUUUCCUGUAAACCUAUUUCGAUAUCUAACUUGACUGCUUCUAACCAUGCAAAUGCUUCCGCGGCAAACGGAGAAGCAACAUUGCGAUGAAUAAUAGAUUUCAAAGCCAAAACCUCGUUCAUCAGACCCCUAACCACCAACCUCGACACUGGUAUGAACUUUCUAUUGUUGAACGUAGCAUCAAACUGGAUCUUCACGAUCAGUAAGUCUUCCACAUUUCUUUGAUUUUGCACCGUAUGUGAUAAAGUUUUCUUAACUUUAAUCCCUUUGUAUUCUGCCAUGUGGUUCUGAAUUUUCCGUGCGAGGUCUCUACCCGUUGUGUGUACCCGUUCAUGCAGAAGUUGAUUCCUUGAAUGCCAAAGUAUCCAUAAGCCAUAAUAAAAAUAUCUGCAUUGUUCGUUUGUUCCUUGUUUGAAAACCACAGUGAGCCACUCCCAGAAAUUUUGAUGCACGAAAGUUGUAACCCAAGAAAGGUUUAAUAGCUGCCAGACCUCUAUGCUUGUGGAACAUUGUCGGAAAAUAUGAUGACAGUCUUCAUCUUCAUAACCGUACCUAGGGCAUCUGACAUUUGUCACUAAUCUUCUAUGUCGGAGAUUUCUCAAAGUAGGAAUGUAAUUCCAUGACAUGCACCAGAUUAUGAUUGUGAUCUUAGACGGUAGUUGUAGUUUCCAUAGUUUUCUGAAAAAUUCCUUGGUUUCGGUCUGUAACAAAUAAUGACUAGGAUUCAGAUUAGCAAUUUGUAAUAGUUUAUAGGCGCUACGAACUGAGUAUUCCCCUGUUGGUUCGCCCCUCCAGACUUGGAAGUCCUCGUGCACUGAUUCCGAUAGUGGGAUCUAUAGGAUUGUGCGAGCAACCUUCGGGUGAAAGGUAUUGUUGAUCAGCUCUUCCUUCCAUUUCCUAGUCGUACUAUCAAUAAGAUCCAAAACAAAUUCUAGUUGCAUACUAUCUGACCUGUUGUGCCUUUCCAAUAUUCCAUUCCUUGGACCCAUCGAUCAUUCUAGAUGGAUACUUUGUCCCCUUUACCGAUUCGCCAGCUUAGGCCUUGUUGAAGGAGCCUCUUAGCUGCCCAAAUGCUCUUCCAGGUAAGUGAAGGUAAAGUUCUUAACUGAGCCUCUAAGCCCAAAUGCUCUUCCAGGUAAGUGAAGGUAAAGUUCUUAACUGAGCCUCUAAGAAAGUCGAAUGCGGAUAAUAUUUUGCUUUUAAAACCCUGACUAGUAAUGAAUUAGGAUAAUAAAUCAAACAUCAUCCUUGUUUAGCAAGUAACGCAACAUUAAAUUGACUCAAAUUUCGAAAGCCUAGGCCGCCAUUCUCUUUUAAAAAGCAAAGAUGUUUCCAAGUACACCAACGAAUUCCCCUUUUCCCAUGUCCCUUCUGCCACCAAUACUUCGCUAUAAUAUUUUUAAGAUCAUCACAAAGGGAAUUAGGUAAUAGAAAACAUGCCAUCGUGUAAGUCGGAACUGCUUGAAGAAUUGCGUUAAUAAAGAUUUCUUUACCUCUUUGUGAUAAACUUGGUACUCCAAUUAUCAAUAUGUUUUUUAAGGCUAUCCUUCAAAUUUUGAAAAGCUUCCUUCUUUCUCUUUCCUACCAUAUUCGGCAAUCCCAGAUAGCGUUCUGGCUCAUUUGAACUUCAAACACCCAGUAAAUUGACAACCGUUUGCUUUUCUUCUUCUGAAGUGUUUUUGCUGAAAACUACCGUUGAUUUAUCGAAAUUCACACACUACCCCGAACAAAGUCUGUAUUCAUCCAAUAUAUUUUUGAAUAGAUGCGCCCCACUUCUUGUGGCUUCCCUAAAUAAGAUAUAGUCAUCGGCAAAUAAAAUGUGUGAAAUCGGUGGACCAUUCCUGCUAACUUUCACUCCUCUUAAAAGUCCUUCCCGUUCUGCAAGCCGCAAUAGUCUGGAUAAUCUCUCACCACAUAAAAGAAAUAAAAAUGGGCUUAAUGGAUCACAUUGACGAAGUCCUCUGGUCGGUUGAAAUUUCUCUUCUCGAUGUUCGUUCAUGGCCACUGAAUAAGAAACAGUGGUAAUACAUUGCAUAAUAGCCUUUACCCAUCUAUUUGCAAAACCCAUUUGAAUCAUUAUAUGCUUUAUAAAUUCUCAUUCGACCCUAUCAUAAGCUUUGCUCAUAUCGAGUUUAACUGUCAUGAACCUUUUCUUCCCUAUUCUUUUCCCCUUCAACGUAUUCAGGAUUUCAUAGGCUAACAGCACGUUGUCAGAUAUUAGUCUUUCUAGCACAAAAGCACUUUGUGCAACUUCUAUACAUUUUCCGAUCACUCUUCGAAAUUGGUUCGCAAGAGUCUUUGCCAAGAUUUUAUAAAGAACAUUACAAAGACUAAUCGGACGAAAGUGUAUCAUAUUAGAAGGACUAGAAUUCUUCGGGAUUAGUACAAUAUUUGUAAAGUUAAGUGAUCUAACCUUCAUAUCACCAUUUAAAAGAUGUAAGCAAAAAUCAGUAACUUUAUCACCAAUAAUGUGCCAGCAUUUUUGAUAAAACAGUCCUAGAAAUCCAUCUUCUCCCGGCGCCUUCGUAGAACCCAUGUCGAACACUGCCAUUUGAAUUUCUUCUUUUGAAUAAUUUGCUGUUAAUUGUUUAUUAUCCUCCUUAUGUAUGCAUCAUCCAAUGCCUGAUAACAAAUGUUCGUAAGGACCUCUUUGUUCUGUCGAAAAUAGUUGUUAAAAAUAAGAGCGAGCGAUUCUCUCCAUUUCCUGUAAGGUCUCUGUUUCCCUGCCAUCCUCAGUUUGUAACUUACGAAUACAAUUUUCUUCUUACGUUGUGUUGUUUGGCUGUGAAAGAAUGCUGAAUUUUUAUCCCCAAAUUUCAACCAAUUCAUUAUGGCCCUCUGUUCCCAAUACCGUUCAUCCUUCUCUAUUUCAAAAUUUAAUUGUAUUUUUGUAUCAAUCAACUCAGCUAAAUUGUUGUCAUCUCUACCAGCAUCAUAUAGAUCUGAUAACUUAGCCGUAAGAGCCUUCGUCUUCUUCUGUCGGUUCCUUUGAAUCUGUCCAGACCAUUUGACCAAGCCCUUCUUCAGAUUUUCUAGCUUUUGCACCAAGUCUCCUGAAGACAUCUCCCAGAUUUUAUUAACCUCACUAAGAAAAGAUUCCUCUAACACCCAUCAGGCUUCAAAUUUGAAAAUUCUGUUCCUCAAUCUUCCCCUUACGUUGCUUGUAUCAGCUAAAAGUGGAUAAUGGUCUGAAAAAGAAUGUACUAAAUUUUGCACUUUCACCUCCGGAAACAUGGAUAUCCAUCUCGCAUUGGCCACUCCUCUAUCCAACCGUUCUCGAAUAUUUGUCUUUGGAAGGUUGCCUCUUUCCCACAUGAACCAUCUACCAGAAUAUCCUACAUCAGACAGUUGACAAUCCUCCAGAGUUUUUCGAAAUAGACCCAUUCUCCUUUCAUCCCUAGGUAUCCCUCACUUUUUUUUCAGAUCCAAACAUUAUUUCAUUAAAAUCCCCACAAAUAAACCAAGGGAUAUCAUUAGCAACUUUUAAACUUCUCAAAACAUCCUACAAAUCAUUCCUGUCUUGUGCGUACGGGGACCCAUAAAAACCUAUAAAUCUCUAUUUGACUCCUAAUUCGCUAUCUUCAAUAUCCACAUCAAUGUGUCUUUUUGAAUAAGAGCGAAAAAUGACUGAAACACCCAAUCUCCAUGCCAAACAUAAACCUUUUCUACUGCCCUCUGAAUCAACCUCAACACCAUUUCCAAAACCAUAUUUUCGGCGCACCCCUUCUAUCUGUGUCUUACCAAGCUUUGUCUCCGUAAAGAAGAUAAUUUCGGGAUUAUACGUCUUCAGCAGAUGCUGAAGUCUACAAAUUAUCCGCGACCUCCCCAAACGACGACAUUCUAACUUAAGAUUUUCAUUGCGCCUGGUCGGCUUGCCUCUUGGCAGCUGCCGAUGAUAAUUGGUUAGAUUUCAUCAAUCUCCUGCUCCUUACCAUUAAGUAGUCCAUAUCUUCUCUCUCCGAGAAGUCAUCCCUCGCUCCUCUAUUUCUCUUCUUUCCCUCUUCUCCAAUGAGGAUACCUUCCUCCAAGUCAUGCUCCAUCCUUGUUUGCAUCAAUUCUGACUGUAUAUUUUCAUUUUGAUUAUCAAAAGAUAAGGAUCCCCCUUCUAGAUUAAAACCCAAUACUGGAUCGAUAAUCUUUCCACUCUUUCCAUUGUUAUCCACAUUCCAUAUUCGAUUAUUUGGGACCCAAUUACUUCCUCUAUCCCCUUCACGACUCUCAUCAUCCUCUUCCCGAAGCCAGAUACUGUUCAUCGACAAGGCUCUACGUGAUUAGGCACGCAAAGAUAGAUCUCACCCUAAUUCAGCAAUUUCCACACCAAGCAAUAUCUUAGCUUCACAAAACGAGUCGCUAUGCCCCAAUCGACCACAGUAGAAACAGAAUAGAGAUAAUCGCUCGUACUUAAAUCUGACAUAUGAACAUCUUCCAUUAAACAUAACCUGUUUUUUCCUUUUCAAAGGUCGUUUGAUGUCAAUCUGGGCCAUUGUACGCAUGUAAUUACGAUUCUCCUUCUCUAAAUUUGCACCAUCAUAUCCAAAAAAUUCCCCAAGAAAUUACCCAAUUGUAUGGAUAAUUUUUUAGAAAAUAAACCAAUAGGGACAUCAUGAAUUUGGAUCCAAAAAGGGGUAAAUAUUAAUGGCACCUUUAACGGGUCCUCCCCCCAUUGCAACUUAUAAAUAACCAACAAGUGAUUAUUAAAAGUCCCAGGUGAACCCUUUAUAACCCGUUCCAUAUCCAUUAUGUGAAAAAAUUAGAAUAUAUACCUUUUAUCUCACAGAUCCCAGAUCUGAACUCUACGGACCUGAUGCCACAAAUUUGCCAUCGUGCUUUUCAUGGCUGGGAAGUGGAUUAUACUGGCCAUUAGAAAGCAACCUACUAGUUGGAAUUCACUCAUUUCUCUUCCUGGGAUUGGAUCUAUUGGAAUUUCCAAAAUUUCAUCCUCUUCUUCGUUAAGUGUCAGACCUACUAAUUCAGUUUCCAUUGUUGCAGGUAUCGAACGCCAAACUAAAGAAUCCUUAAAUCAAGCAAGGACUAAAGGCUGAUUAGCAGAGCAAGACUUACAAAAAGACGAAAGAGUGCCAAAAAAAAAGAUAAAAAAACAAGAAAACCUAGAUACUCAUGCCAGUGGCGGCAGACUUGGACUUGCUAGGGUAGCAAACUCUCUUAUUAUUAUCUGCAUCUUAAAAUUAAAGUAAGAAGAGUUUAAUUUCGAGAGUCCAUUACAUGCAAAGAAAGUUAUAGCAUCUUGUAAUACUCGGAAAUUAAUACCUUAUUAAACACAUAUUAUUUUUUAGAUUUUGAAAUUAUAAUUUCAAAUUCAAUAUUUAAUCAUAAGGCUAUAAAUUUUAAAGUGUGCACG